rnacentral:rRNA from 1 species
CCGCGAUUCGCCCUUCGGGGUGCAGCAGGCGCGAAAACUUUACCAUGCUGGCAACAGCGAUAAGGGGACCUCGAGUGCCAGGAUACAAUCUUGGCUGUCGCGAUGCCUAAAAAGCAUUGCAUAGCAAGGGCCGGGCAAGACCGGUGCCAGCCGCCGCGGUAACACCGGCGGCUCGAGUGGUAACCGCUAUUAUUGGGUCUAAAGGGUCUGUAGCCGGCCGGAUAAGUCUUUUGGGAAAUCCAGCUGCUCAACAGUUGGGCUUUCAGAAGAUACUGUUCGGCUCGAGACCGGGAGAGGUGAGAGGUACUUCAGGGGUAGGGGUGAAAUCUUGUAAUCCUUGAAGGACCACCAGUGGCGAAGGCGUCUCACCAGAACGGAUCUGACGGCAAGGGACGAAAGCUAGGGGCACGAACCGGAUUAGAUACCCGGGUAGUCCUAGCCGUAAACGAUACUCGCUAGGUGUCAGCCACGGUGCGACCGUGGUUGGUGCCGUAGGGAAGCCGUGAAGCGAGCCACCUGGGAAGUACGGCCGCAAGGCUGAAACUUAAAGGAAUUGGCGGGGGAGCAC